GGCGUCCGGGUGAGUAACACGUGGGUAAUCUACCUCUGGGUGGGGAAUAACACCUCGAAAGAGGUGCUAAUACCGCAUAACGCAGCGGCACCUAAUGGUGAUUAGUUGUUAAAGCGGGGGAUCGCAAGACCUCGCGCCAGGAGAGGAGCCUGCGGCCGAUUAGCUAGUUGGUGAGGUAACGGCUCACCAAGGCUUCGAUCGGUAGCUGGUCUGAGAGGACGGCCAGCCACACUGGCACUGAAAUACGGGCCAGACUCCUACGGGAGGCAGCAGUGGGGAAUUUUGGGCAAUGGGCGCAAGCCUGACCCAGCAACGCCGCGUGAGGGAGGAAAUCCUUCGGGAUGUAAACCUCGCAAGCAGGGGAAGAGUGCUUUCGACCUAAUACGUCGAAAGAAGGACGGUACCCUGCGUAAGC
rnacentral:rRNA from 1 species